rnacentral:rRNA from 1 species
UUCCGAACCCGGAAGCUAAGCUGCGUAGCGCCGAUGGUACUGCAAGGGGGACCUUGUGGGAGAGUAGGACGCCGCCGAAC